GAAAAUGUGUCUCCAUUCGAAGGUAUAACAUAACACUGUUGUCACCACAUCUGGACAUUUUUGGCACCUACUGUUGACUGCGCAGGUCUGGAGAAUCACCAGGAAUAAAAUGAUGAAAGAGAUGCCAUUAAGAAGUUGCUGUCCGUAACAUGCGAUGAGUGCUCCUACAUCCAACACCAGUACCAAUGGAAGAGAGAGAGCUGCAGAUCUGCAAACAGGACAGAAAGAGUCCCAAAGGGAAAAGUCUGCUCAGCAAACUUUCUGAUGAGCCCUUGAAGCUACAGCCUCACAGUGUGUGGGAAAGUUUCACCUUGAAAGAGACCUCCCCACUCCCACAGUGAGGCAGAAAAAAGGAGGAAGAUGUAGCCAAGGUUGAGCUACAAACUCAUCCCAUGUGGAGAAAAAGCCAUGAUAACAG
ensembl:lncRNA